AUUGGGGGUGAUAGUAAGCUUGUGUGAAUUGCUCUGACAGUGUUGCACUACUGUGAUCUCAAAUGAAGCAGUGCAAUAGUAUUGUCAAAGCAUUUCAUUCCAGCACAACUUCAGCUUUGUG
rnacentral:pre_miRNA from 14 species